rnacentral:rRNA from 1 species
UGGGGAAUUUUGCACAAUGGGGGAAACCCUGAUGCAGCGACGCCGCGUGAUUUAGAAGGCCUUCGUGUUGUAAAAAUCUUUUUUAUGGGAUGAAAAUGACAGUACCAUAAGAAUAAGGUCCGGCUAAAUACGUGCCAGCAGCCGCGGUAAUACGUAUGGACCGAGCGUUGUCCGGAAUCAUUGGGCGUAAAGGGUACGUAGGCGGCCCAGUAAGUUAGAAGUGAAAUAAUAUAGCUCAACUAUAUAAAGCUUUUAAAACUGCUAGGCUUGAGAGAUGGAAGGGAAAGUGGAAUUCCUAGUGUAGCGAUGAAAUGCGCAGAUAUUAGGAAGAAUACCGGUGGCGAAGGCGACUUUCUGGUCAUCAACUGACGCUGAGGUACGAAAGCGGGGGUAGCAAACAGG